CAGUGGGUAGUUUAACUUAGAAUAUUAAUUUUGGAGAUUAAAGGUGGAUAAAUUAUCUUUCACUGA
rnacentral:tRNA from 1 species